rnacentral:rRNA from 1 species
CGCGCUAUCGGAUUAUUGGGCGUAAGCGCGCGUAGGCGGUUUUUUAAGUCUGAUGUGAAAGCCCACGGCUCAACCGUGGAGGGUCAUUGGAAACUGGAAAACUUGAGUGCAGAAGAGGAAAGUGGAAUUCCAUGUGUAGCGGUGAAAUGCGCAGAGAUAUGGAGGAACACCAGUGGCGAAGGCGACUUUCUGGUCUGUAACUGACGCUGAUGUGCGAAAGCGUGGGGAUCAAACAGGAUUAGAUACCCCAGUAG